UCGAGGGGCGGAAGAGGAAGGAGGCCAGCGCUGGGCUGUGGUGAGGGGAGGGGCGACCCGGCAGUGCAGGUGCAAACCCGCGGGUCGCUUCCCGCCCUCCAGCCGCUCGCAGCUUUAGGCCUGCGGAAGGCCCACCACAGUGAUGUGGGCCUGACAGUGGCCUGGCGUCUGGGCUUGAUCACGGCGUGUCCCCUCCGCCCCCGCCCCGCAGCGCCUGCGCUCACGCUCGCGGCAGACUCCCGUGCUUUGUGAGCUGAACAGGUCUACACACUAGCGGCAGUCCUGAGUACUGUCUUGGGCUCGGGUCAGCGCGACCCCUGCUUUGCACGGGAGGCUGUGGGCAGGGUCUUUGGCGGUGGAGCUCGCUCUAUUUUGUGGGGACUGUGGUCUACACCUGGGGACCGCCCUUACAAGGACAGGUCAAGCCUUCUCGGGAUGCAGCAAUUCCUUUAUGGAAGUGAUUUCCUCAUGGCUAGAAAGGGUCGGUCUAGUUUUCGGCUUGUGACCCCAGGAGAAUGUCCUCAGUACUCCCGCGUUGCAAUACGGUGCAGAAGAAAAAAAAAUUUUUUUUCUUUAAGGAGUGUGAUUUUGAAAUCUAUAUUUUAAAAUGGGUUGGUGCAGCCGGGCGCAGAGGUGCCCCCUUGUAAUCUCAGCGGCUCCAGAGGCUGAGGCUGGAGGAUCGCGAGUUCAAAGCCAGCCUAAGCAACUCAACAACAGUCUGUCUCUAGUAAAAUACAAAAGAGGGCGAGGGACGUGGCUCAGUGGCUAAGUGCCCCUGGUUUCAUCCCUGUACUAAAAAAUAAAAAUAAUAAAGUGGGCUGGUGCUGUCAGACCGAGCCUUAAUAAUGCAGAAGCAGUGUUGAAGUGUACUGUUGCUACACGCACAUGACUAAUCCCCCACAUCUUAUAUGAGCAUUUUGAUUUUCCUACUCCUUAACAAAGUUUAUACUAUCGGGUCCAGGAUGACUUACAUAGCUUUCAAUUUGUGCGCCCCCCCCCCUUUAAGGUAUCUUAGUGAUAAUGUUGUGCAACUUAGACUUAACAGCGCAAAGCAAAUAGGAUUGAUAGCCUCCAAAGUUAAAGUCUUUUGAAUCUUUGAGCUGGUUGCAGUGGCAUAGACCUGUAAUCCCGCUACUUAGGACAGGGAGGAUCACAAGUUUGAAGCCAACCCUAACAAUUUAGCGAGAUCCUGUCUCAAAAUAAAAAGGUUGAGAUGUAGCCAAAGAUAAGAGUGCCCCUGUGUUCCGUCCCCAGUAAUGCAAAGUUAGGACCUUUGAGUUGAAAACCCUCACUUUUUCGCCUUUCAUUCUGCCCCGCAUUCUUUUUACAUUGUGACCAGCACAGUUAUUAAGAAAUCGUCAAAGGGGGCUGGGGAUGUGGCUCAAGCGGUAGCACGCUCGCCUGGCAUGCGUGUGGCCCGGUUCGAUCCUCAGCACCACAUACCAACAAAGAUGUUGUGUCUGCCAAUA
rnacentral:lncRNA from 1 species